GUAAAGAUGUCGUUUGGUCCAGAUGGACGAACGAAUACCUCAAAUCAUUACGAGAAAGACACAAGCUAAAGCACAACACGAAGCAGAUGACAGCGAAGCGAGGUGACGUAGUUCUAAUUAAAGGAGACGAACGCAACCGAGGGAAGUGGAAAAUUGGGAUAAUCGAAUCGUUCAUUGUCGGCAGAGACGGUGUAAUAAGAGGAGCGCGGUUGAGAACAGGGAAGUCCCAUAUCGAACGUGCGAUGCAGC
rnacentral:lncRNA from 1 species